GGGCAGAAGUAAAUUUCUUUAUAAAUUACCCAGUCUGGGCCUGGUGUGUUGGCUCACAUGUGUAAUUCCAGAACUUUGGGAGGUCAAGGUGGGAGGAGCGCCUGGGCCCAGGGGUUCAAGACGAGCCUGGGCAACAUAGUGAGACCUGUCUCUAUAAAAUAUUUUUAAAAAUUAGCUGGGCGCGGUAUUUUUUAGAGAUUAUGAUUGUUCACCACAAGCUGCCUAGCAGGUAGCCCAAGGAUCCUGGAUCAACUUAGCUAUAUAGCAUCUUUUCUAUCUGAAUGCAGUAUUCUCUUACCCACAACCAUAUGAAGUCUACACAUAUUCAUUAACAGUAUUAUAUAAAAUACAAAAUUGGGACUAUGUCCCCUCAAGAUGAGCACAGUGCUAAGAGGUAAGAGAUGGGAAGUUUGUAUUAAGUUCAAACACUUUUGGCAAGAAUUUAUACAAUUUCAGGUAACUGGGCAUUUUAGGCAAAGCACACAACUUCAUGAUGUAUCACUGAGGAGGAUAAGAUAAACAGUUCUAAAAGCUGGUACAGGUGACAAAUUUUGUGCAAUUUUAAGUUUUACAUUUUUUUGUACAAAUAGGAUCUUGCUAUGCAGUCCAGGCUGGUCUUGAACUCCUGGCCUCAACUGAUCUUCCUGCCUUGAACCCCCAAAAUGCUGGGCUUACAGGUGUGAGCCACUGCACCUGCUGUUUUUAAAGAUAUUGUAACAUACUAUUAUUCUAAAACCUUAUCCUUUGUUGUAUCAGAAAAACGACAUCCUAGACUGGGCGCGGUGGCUCACGCCU
rnacentral:lncRNA from 1 species